rnacentral:rRNA from 1 species
GACAUAGGUGGCGAACGUUAUCCGGAAUUAUUGGGCGUAAAGGAUGCGUAGAUGGUAGAAUAAGUUACUGGUCGAUGCCAAACUCAAUUUGACGGAAGCUGGUAAUACUGUUCUGCUCGAGGACAGGAGAGGUUGAUGGAAUUCUGUGUGGAGCGGUGAAAUGCGUUGAUCUACAGAGGAACACCAAAAAAGGCGAAGGCAGUCAACUAUUCUAUUCCUGACAUUGAGGCAUGAAAGCGUGGGGAGCAAACCGG